rnacentral:rRNA from 1 species
AUUGAACGCUGGCGGCAUGCCUUACACAUGCAAGUCGAACGGUAACGCGGGGCAACCUGGCGACGAGUGGCGAACGGGUGAGUAAUACAUCGGAACGUGCCCAGUAGUGGGGGAUAGCCCGGCGAAAGCCGGAUUAAUACCGCAUACGACCUACGGGUGAAAGCAGGGGAUCGCAAGACCUUGCGCCAUUGGAGCGGCCGAUGUCAGAUUAGGUUGUUGGUGGGGUAAAGGCCUACCAAGCCGACGAUCUGUAGCUGGUCUGAGAGGACGACCAGCCACACUGGGACUGAGACACGGCCCAGACUCCUACGGGAGGCAGCAGUGGGGAAUUUUGGACAAUGGGCGCAAGCCUGAUCCAGCCAUGCCGCGUGCGGGAAGAAGGCCUCGG